rnacentral:rRNA from 1 species
UACGGAGGGAGCUAGCGUUGUUCGGAUAUACUGGGCGUAAAGCGCACGUAGGCGGCGCAGCAAGUCAGGGGUGAAAUCCCGGAGCUCAACUCCGGAACUGCCUUUGAAACUGCAGUGCUAGAAUCCUGGAGAGGCGAGUGGAGUUCCGAGUGUAGAGGUGAAAUUCGUAGAUAUUCGGAAGAACACCAGUGGCGAAGGCGACUCGCUGGACAGGUAUUGACGCUGAGGUGCGAAAGCGUGGGGAGCAAACAGGG